GACGAACGCUGGCGGCGUGCCUAACACAUGCAAGUCGAACGGGGGCUUAGGUUGGCACUGAGUUAUUCUUAGUGAGGAUAACUGAGUGCCAACUUAAGACCUAGUGGCGGAUGGGUGAGUAACGCGUGAGCAACCUACCCUUAGGAGGGGGAUAACACACCGAAAGGUGUGCUAAUACCGCAUAAUAUAUGGUAGCCGCAUGGUUAUCAUAUCAAAGAUUUAUCGCCUAAGGAUGGACUCGCGUCUGAUUAGCUAGUUGGUGAGGUAAAGGCUCACCAAGGCGACGAUCAGUAGCCGAACUGAGAGGUUGAUCGGCCACAUUGGGACUGAGACACGGCCCAGACUCCUACGGGGAGGCAGCAGUGGGGGAUAUUGCGCAAUGGGGGAAACCCUGACGCAGCGACGCCGCGUGAAGGAAGAAGGUCUUCGGAUCGUAAACUUUUGUCAUUGGGAAGAAGAAAUGACGGUACCCAAGGAGGAAGCCACGGCUAACUACGUGCC
rnacentral:rRNA from 1 species